rnacentral:rRNA from 1 species
CUCGUAGUUGAACCUUGGGUCUGGCUGGCCGGUCCGCCUCACNNNGUGAACUGGUCCGGCCGGACCUUUCCUUCUGGGGAGCCCUAUGGCCUUCACUGGCCGUAGGGGGAACCAGGACUUUUACUGUGAAAAAAUUAGAGUGUUCAAAGCAGGCCUUUGCUCGGAUACAUUAGCAUGGAAUAAUAGAAUAGGACGUGCGGUUCUAUUUUGUUGGUUUCUAGGACCGCCGUAAUGAUUAAUAGGGAUGGUCGGGGGCGUCAGUAUUCAGCUGUCAGAGGUGAAAUUCUUGGAUUUGCUGAAGACUAACUAUUGCGAAAGCAUUCGCCAAGGAUGUUUUCAUUAAUCAGUGAACGAAAGUUAGGGGAUCGAAGACGAUCAGAUACCGUCGUAGUCUUAACCAUAAACUAUGCCGACUAGGGAUCGGACGGGGUUUUUUUAAUGACCCGUUCGGCACCUUACGAGAAAUCAAAGUUUUUGGGUUCUGGGGGGAGUAUGGUCGCAAGGCUGAAACUUAAAGAAAUUGACGGAAGGGCACCACAAGGCGUGGAGCCUGCGGCUUAAUUUGACUCAACACGGGGAAACUCACCAGGUCCAGACAAAAUAAGGAUUGACAGAUUGAGAGCUCUUUCAUGAUCUUUUGGAUGGUGGUGCAUGGCCGUUCUUAGUUGGUGGAGUGAUUUGUCUGCUUAAUUGCGAUAACGAACGAGACCUUAACCUGCUAAAUAGCCAGGCUGGCGUUUGCCGGCCGCUGGCUUCUUANAGGGACUAUCGGCUCNAGCCGAUGGAAGUUUGANGCAAUAACAGGUCUGUGAUGC